CUCACACUCAUGUGUAUAGGACAUUAAAGGAUCACUAUUAAAUUUGGCACAGAUCUUUAAAAAAGUUAUCACUUGAGAGUGAGACUUGACUUUUCUAAAGAUCUGUACCAAAUUUAAUGGUGAUCCUUUGAGAUCCUAUAUCUAUGGGUGUGGG
rnacentral:pre_miRNA from 1 species